rnacentral:rRNA from 1 species
GACGAGCGCUGGCGGCGUGCUUAACACAUGCAAGUCGAACGGAAAGGCCCUGCUUUUGUGGGGUGCUCGAGUGGCGAACGGGUGAGUAACACGUGAGUAACCUGCCCUUGACUUUGGGAUAACUUCAGGAAACUGGGGCUAAUACCGGAUAGGAGCUCCUGCUGCAUGGUGGGGGUUGGAAAGUUUCGGCGGUUGGGGAUGGACUCGCGGCUUAUCAGCUUGUUGGUGGGGUAGUGGCUUACCAAGGCUUUGACGGGUAGCCGGCCUGAGAGGGUGACCGGCCACAUUGGGACUGAGAUACGGCCCAGACUCCUACGGGAGGCAGCAGUGGGGAAUAUUGCACAAUGGGCGGAAGCCUGAUGCAGCAACGCCGCGUGCGGGAUGACGGCCUUCGGUUUGUAAACCGCUUUCGCCUGUGACGAAGCGUGAGUGACGGUAAUGGGUAAAGAAGCACCGGCUAACUACGUG